rnacentral:rRNA from 1 species
GACGAACGCUGGCGGCGUGCUUAACACAUGCAAGUCGAACGGAAAGGCCCUGCUUUUGUGGGGUGCUCGUGUGGCGAAAGGGGGAGUAACACGUGAGUAACCUGCCCUUGACUUUGGGGUAACAUCAGGAAACUGGGGCUCAUACAGGAUAGGAGAUCCUCCUGCACGUUGGGGGUUGGUGAGUUUCGGCGCUUUGGGCUGGUUUCGCGGGUUAUCAGCUUGUUGGUGGGGUAGUGGUUUACCAAGGCUUUGACGGGUAGCCCGCCUGAGAGGGUGAACGGCGACAUUGGGACUAAGGUACGGCGCAGAAUGGUACCUUAGGCAGCAGGGGGGAAUAUUGCACAGUAGGGGCGAGUGAGAUGAGAAGGCCCUGCGUGCGGAAAGACGGCUUACGAGUGAAAAACCGCUUGCGCAUUAAACGAAGCGGGAGUGACGGUAAUGUAUAAAGAAGCAACGGCUAACUACGUG